CCUACGGGGGGCAGCAGUGGGGAAUAUUGCGCAAUGGGCGAAAGCCUGACGCAGCGACGCCGCGUGAGGGAUGAAGGUCUUCGGAUCGUAAACCUCUGUCAGCAGGGAAGAACGGUCACUGUGCUAAUCAGCAGUGAAUUGACGGUACCUGCAAAGGAAGCACCGGCUAACUCCGUGCCAGCAGCCGCGGUAAUACGGAGGGUGCGAGCGUUAAUCGGAAUUACUGGGCGUAAAGCGCUCGUAGGCGGUAUGGCAAGUCAAGGGGGAAAUCCCCGCGCUCAACGUGGGAACUGCCUUUGAAACGGGCAAACUGGAGUGUGUGAGAGGAUAGUGGAAUUCCAGGUGUAGGAGGGAAAUCCGUAGAUAUCUGGAGGAACAUCAGUGGCGAAGGCGACUAUCUGGCACAUAACUGACGCUGAGGAGCGAAAGCGUGGGUAGCAAACAGGAUUAGAUACCCCAGUAGUC
rnacentral:rRNA from 1 species